UUGAACGCUGGCGGCAUGCCUUACACAUGCAAGUCGAACGGCAGCACGGGGGCAACCCUGGUGGCGAGUGGCGAACGGGUGAGUAAUACAUCGGAACGUGCCCUGAAGUGGGGGAUAACGUAGCGAAAGUUACGCUAAUACCGCAUAUUCUGUGAGCAGGAAAGCAGGGGAUCGCAAGACCUUGCGCUUUAGGAGCGGCCGAUGUCGGAUUAGCUAGUUGGUGAGGUAAAGGCUCACCAAGGCGACGAUCCGUAGCGGGUCUGAGAGGAUGAUCCGCCACACUGGGACUGAGAAACGGCCCAGACGCCUACGGGAGGCAGCAGUGGGGAAUUUUGGACAAUGGGCGCAAGCCUGAUCCAGCCAUGCCGCGUGCGGGACGAAGGCCUUCGGGUUGUAAACCGCUUUCAGCCGGAAAGAAAUCGUCAAGGCUAAUAUCCUUGAUGGAUGACGGUACCGGAAGAAGAAGCACCGGCUAACUACGU
rnacentral:rRNA from 1 species